ACGUACUGGUAACGGAGGGGACAUAGAAGCUCAGAUGGCCGAUACGCUGCUUUAUAUCUCAUCUUGCUGCAUGAAUGAAUGUAAUAGCCAAGGUAAUAAUACUGGAGACUGGGGCAGUGAACUCGAUUCUCCUUCACCCAAGAUAUUUCUUGCAAAGCCGAAUAUUUUCCCAGUGAUAAAAAGGCAAAGUCAGGGUCCCAAAAUAAAUAUUUACUCGACAAGCAUUUAGGAAGGAUAUCCACCACACCAACCGCAACUAAUCGGCCAUCAAUAACAUAUGACUGAUGGAAAGACCCAAAACCGCAGGGAGGAACUGAACCAUCACCGGUCGAGGGAACAAAAACCAAUGGUGUGUCAACCAAAAAACUCUCGUACCCUUCCUCUGUGAUAUCGUCUGGAUUGUCCUUGUGCACUUUCAACUGAUAUCGCCUGUACAACUCAAAUUCUUCACGCUCAAAACUGGAUCUUUUCAGAAGAAUCUCAAGCUUCCGCCUUUUUCCUGAACAACAGUUACAGCACCUCACCAUACAUCUUCUCUUGUUUCCAUUUCUCGUUGAAGAUUCUUUAGAGAGAGAUUUUUCUUCGCCAGUCUUAUCCGCUGAAGCGUGCUCUGCAAUAGAAUAAAAGUUCAGAUGUCCGUUACAUGCUUGGACCAAGAAGCCAGAUGUUUCAUCCGUUUGAGACAAUGACCGCGCCAACUUUUCUCCAAUCCUUCGAGGUGUCAACUCAGAAGGCAGUUGGUCUUCUGCUGAGAUUCCAGAGAAUUCUGACCCUUUUUCAUCCUUUUUUUCUGACCGCGCACGCCUUAAAGUGGCAGCCAAUUGGAAAGCAAUGUUACUGGUAUACGAGAGAUUUUCCAAUCCUUUGACUAGCUUCUUCUUCUUGGUUGGGGAGCCUCCUUUGACAGAAGCUUUAGGUAAUUGAAGAUUGGCAGAAAACGUCUCGCUUUCGAUACAUGCCUGCACAGCCUUAUCAAUUGCAUCAGACAAGUAAUGCAUAAAUUGUUCUGGCUCAUUCUUAUCCUCCUCCACGUCCACAGAAGUUUCAACCGUUGCCAAGUUUGACCUUCCAUGACAUUCACAUUCACAUGCCACUUUAGAAGUAUUUAAAUCCUCCAGGAGCUCAGGCUUGGCUUUGGUGUCCAGUGUACCAUCCAGAAACCUAGAAAAUAAUCACCAUGGUGAGAAAUUCUUGUACAUUAUAUCCAGAGUAUGCAGCUUUGCUAAAUCCUCACCUCAAAGGUAUAAUUCGGUUGAAAUGCACAAGUAGCCUAACAAUUUUUGCAACCAUUGCACUUGUUAAGUUUAGCUUCAUGGUGUAAAAAGACCGAGAAAUUUCUCAAGGAGUCAAAAAGCAAAGCUCUUUCACUUUGAGAAAUCUCCUAGGUUGGAAAGCUUAGUGACGUCAAACUAAAAUUCCACUCAUGGAGUUGUCCGUUGAAAUACCAUUCCAAUGCCUACCAGCCUCAGAGUGGGCAAAUAGUAUUUUUGAUGACCACUGGUCUAAUCAAUUGACAAAGAAUGGACUCCAAACUCGAAUGCUGUCUUGAAAACAGGGUGGUGGUCGAUUUUGCAAAAUCCAACGACGACGGACUGAUGAAAAAAAUCAUAUGUGAAGAUGCAAUGAUCCAAUGAAUAGAAUCCAUAAUGUAGAGAGGUUAUUAAAGUAAUACCUUUCCAUCCGUUUGCGUACUCGAUUUUGCUCCUUGGAAGGAGAAAAGUCCGCUGCUUUUAAGCGGAUAGUAUAAGAAGGGCAACACGUAGUACUCAUAUCUGGCUUGUAAAGGAAAGAGCCAGAUCUUCUCCAUCCUCGAUCAAGGAGAUCUACAGGAUGAGCAUCGAAGUAUGAAUUGCCACUCAAAAGAUAAAUGCACAAUCAUUGAAUGUACUAUAACAUCUAUCCGAGCCAUCAUUGCCACAGUAAGAAAACUAUUGGGAUAGAAACGACUCGAGUCGGAACUUCAGCAUCCACCAUAGCUCCAACAUGGUUUCUCUGAGCUCUUGCAGUUAAAAUACGCACAUACGGAAGCAUACGUGCGUGUCUUAACUGCUGAUAGAAUGAGUAGGCAUAAAUUUCCCUCAUACGGAUCAAGCAUUCGAAAUUUCUCUACUUCUUUCGACCAGACAUGUGCACAUAUUGAAACUACAUGAGCCGAGAGUCGAUUAGUUACAGCGCAUCGACAGUCCAGAGCUGCCCAGACUCUCAAAAUAGGAAAUCCCGCACCAACCUUGAUAGUCAUCCACGUUUAGGCUCUCCGCGAUCAAGCCUGCGAUCCAAGUCGAAGAGACGUUAAAAAACAAACAAUACGAAACGGGAAAAAAUCGUCACAGCAAGCCGACACACGCAACGAAGCGUCAGAUUGGAACUAAAGACUAAACGCGAAUCAGCAAUUCCAGCGACCGUGAACGUCACAACAGACGACAAAAGCCGGCAAAAAGCAAACCCGACGCACGGCAUCUCCAGUCCCGAGCCACCGGAGUCCGGGCAAAAACCGUACUCAACGACACGGGCGGGAGGCAAACAACGAGAAACGAAGGAGGAACCGUACGGACCGUGAGAAAUGCUGGACCGAUUGGACGAUCCGCAGUACCCGCAGGAGCUCCUCUGCCGGCCGCAGUCCAUGACCACCGACUUCCCCCUUCCGCCGCCGCCGCCGCCGCCUCCGCCUCUGUCGCUGCUGCUCGCCUCGCUGCGAUGAUGGGCCGCCAUGUUGGAACCAAAAGGACUUGGAGGGAGAGAGUACACACACAAAGAGAGAUUAUAUUACACAAUAUGCCUUUGUAAAGGCUUAAGAGAGUACACACUAACUUUGCUAAGUUUAAAACUCUCUCUAAAAACUCACUCUCUCACAAAAACACUCUCACACACUGAACUAACGUAACCCUAUAUCUAAAAGUACUUCACCGCAUGGACUUCAAACCUGCAAGAGUUAAAUUUGAACUUUACUUCUUGGCAGUCAAAAAAAAACGUCGGCUGCGUAUCUCUUCUUCUUGCUGUCUUCAGAGAGAAUAAAAUAUUGCCAUCCCCAAGUUGCUUUCCUUCCUUUCCUUCGUGCUCUUGGAGUCUUCAGCAGCAACUAUAAUAUUUUAUUGUGUGCCCAAGACUUGUACUUUCUUCAUGAUUUUUCUUCUCCGGCGGCUCAGAGAGACGUGGUGCUGUAGCACACGUUUCUUUGACGGUUUACAAACCUAAUAACUCUUAUUUACACACACACAGCCAAAAACAAUUAAAAGACAAAUAAGCUAGUCAAAACACAAAACCAAUUUUACUAUUUUCUAACAGCCUCCCUUAAAAUUGAUUUUGUAAGACUACGACACCAAGCAUUGUCUUCAAUUUCUCGAACAGAUCCGCCUUCAAUGGUUUUGUCAAAAUAUCUGCAAUCUGGUCUUCGGAUUUACAGAAAUCAAGUUCAAUCUCAUCUUCUUUAAUCAGCUCACGAAUAUAAUGAUACUUGAUGUCGAUAUGUUUGCUCCUGCCAUGAAAUACAGGAUUCUUGGCCAAUGCAAUUGCUGACUUGUUAUCACACAUCAAUUUAGUAGGACCUUUUUGUUCAUGCAUAAGCUCAAAAAGCAUCCUUCGAAGCCACAUCGCCUGACAUGCUGCUGAAGAUACUGCAAUGUAUUCUGCUUCAGUUGUUGAGAGUGCAAUAACUUGUUGUUUCUUUGAUGACCAAGAAAUUAUUCCUGAUCCAAGAAAGAACGCAUAUCCAGAAGUGCUCUUUCGUGUUUCAGUAUCACCUGCCCAAUCACUGUCUGUAUACCCCACUAAACUGAAGUUGUCAGUGUAAGAAUAUGAAAUUCCAUGAUCACGAGUUCCACUGACAUACCUUAAAAUUCUUUUUGCUGCUUGCAAAUGUGAUUGGUAUGGUUUCUCCAUAAACCGACUAAUAAUUCCCACGCCAUAAGUUAUAUCUGGCCUAGUGGUAGCCAAAUAUCUUAAACUGCCGACAAUACUUUUGAAAUAAGUGGGAUUUACCAGUUCACCGGUUCCUUCUUUCUUCAACUCCAACCGUUCUGCUACAGGAGUUCGAAUUGAUUUGAGCGUUUCCAUAUUGAAUCGCUUCAAAAUAUCAUUAGCAUACUUCUGCUGUGAAACAAAUAUGCCUUCAUUUGUCUGCUUCACUUCAAGGCCCAGAAAAUAGGACAUUAAUCCCAAGUCCGUCAUCUCAAAUUGACUUGUCAUGGCCUCCCUGAAUUCAGCAAACAUCUUCUCACAGCUUCCUGUAAAUAUCAAAUCAUCAACAUAAAGGCAAAUAAUUAUAAUAUUGCCGUUAGUAUUUGAUUUGAUAUACAGUGUAUGCUCAUAAGGGCACUUUUGAAAGCCAUGCUCCAACAGGUAAGUAUCAAUCCUCGUGUACCAAGCUCGAGGUGCCUGUUUUAGCCCAUACAACGCUUUCUUCAAUUUAUAAACUUGAUUUUCACGCCCUUUCUUCACAUAACCUUGUGGUUGCUCCACAUAUACUUCCUCAUCAAGAAAACCAUUAAGGAAUGCCGAUUUCACAUCCAUUUGAUGGAUUUUCCAACGGUUCUGAGCUGCAAGUGCCAAGAUCAUUCGAAUGGUAUCCAUUCGAGCCACCGGUGCAAAUACUUCAAAAUAAUCAAUACCUGGCUUUUGCUUGUAGCCUUUCACCACCAGUCUAGCUUUGUAACGGUCCACCUGACCGUUGGGUUUGCACUUCGUUUUGUACACCCACUUGACACCUAUAGGCUUCUUACCAGGUGGUAAAGAAGUUAGCACCCACGUGUCAUUCUUUUCAAUGGAGUGGAUUUCUUCAUCCAUUGCUUGGUUCCACUUCUCAUCUGCUGCUGCAUCAUCAUAGGAUAUGGGGUCACAUUCGGUAAAUAAACAAAAGUUUACCAUUGUUUCAUCAGUGAUUUCGUCACUGUCAUUAUGAUCAACUCUUGUGACCACAUAAUCCUUGAAUUUUACUGGCGUCUUUUGCGGUCGUUGUGAACGACGAAUCAAUGGUUCUGCAGUCGUUGCUGGUGAGGAGGAUGAACUACCAGGUGAAAGUGAUGGAUCUUCAAUUGAAGAUUCUUCGGUCUCCCUCAUCAAUGGUUCAUCUUCCAUAGGAAUGUCUUUCUGGUCAGCCUUUUGAUUCCAGUCCCAGGCUUCAUCUUCAAAAAAUUGGACAUCCCUGCUAAUAAUUACCUUCUCCGUGACAGGAUUAUAUAGCUUAUAACCCUUAGUCACAUUACUAUAUCCAAUGAAAAUGCACUUCUCGCUUUUAUCAUCCAACUUUUUUCUUCGUUCGUCCGGUAUAUGGGGAUAUGCUACACACCCAAAUACCCGUAGGAACGAAACAUCUGGCUUGUUGCCGCUCCAAGCCUCUUCUGGAGUUCUUCCAAGAACACUCCUUGUUGGACACCUAUUCAACACAAAUACAGCACAAGCAACGGCUUCCGCCCAAAACUUCUUCGGAAUGCUUUAGCCUUUAGCAUACUUCUUGCCAUUUCAAAAAUUGUUCUAUUCUUUCUUUCUACUAUACCAUUUUGCUGAGGAGUAUAGCUAGCAGUCAACUGACGUUUCACUCCAUGAAUUUUACAAUAAUUGUCAAAUUCAUUGGAAGUAAACUCUCCACCUCUAUCCAAUCUCAAUGUCUUUAAAUUAAGGCCACUCUGUUUCUCAACAUAGACUUUGAAUUCUUUAAAUUUGCCAAAAGCUUCGGAUUUUUCUCUCAAAAAAUAAGCCCAUGUUUUUCUAGUAAAAUCAUCGACAAAAAUUAGUGUGUACCUUUUUUGUCCAAAUGAUUCUACCUCAACAGGACCACAGAUAUCUGCAUGUACCAACUUCAGAGGUUGCUUGGCUCUUCUAGCUCUCCCAAUUGGAAACGAUUUCCGAUGUUGCUUUCCAACGAGACAUCCUUCACAUGAGCGGUCUGGAGCAUCGAUCAAGGGCAUGCCAGUCACCAUCUUUUUCUGGACUAGUAAUUUAAGUCCACGAAAAUUUAGAUGACCGAACCGAAGAUGCCAUAGCCACUUGCUAUCUUUUGUCGUUGCUUGGAAACUCAAUAGAGUCUUCGUCUGAAGGGAUAGAGGAAACAUCCGGUUCUUCGUCAUCUGUGUCGUCGUAAUCAACUUAUUGUUUGAGCCUCUAAUGGUGCACACACCAUUUUCAAUGUUAACUUUGUGGCCUUUUUCGGAUAGUUGCCCAACACUCGGCAAAUUCCAAAAGAGUCCCACCACAAAGUAAACGUCUGCAAUAGUAACAUUAGUACCAUCUUUUGAGUUGAUAUCAAUGUUACCUUUGCCCAUCACGAGAAUUUUGGAUUUAUUCCCGAAGUUGACUUCACCACGAACCGUCUCAUCUAACUUCGAAAAUAGCUCCUUUUGACCACACAUGUGAUUGCUGCACCCAGUAUCAAGAUACCAAAUUUUUGUGUCCAUGGUACUUGAGUCAUCCAUUUGGCAUGCUAACACCACGCCUUCAUUUGCAUUGACAGCGUGCACAUAUUCUGGCUGCUCUUGCCCCCUGUUUGCUCGACAUUCGGAUUUGUAAUGUCCGAAUUUGUUACAGUUAAAACACUUGACUUUUGAUUUGUCACGUGUUUGAUAUCUUUUAGUGGAAUUCAGAUUUCCACCUCUACCUCGGGCACCACCACGACCUCCACGACCUCGGGCACCAUGAUGACCUCCUCGAUUUGAUUGAGUGACCCGACUUUGCAGUGCUUGCUCAGAAUUCGAACUGAUAGACUUUUGGUUCAUUCUUUGCUCAUGCGAACAUAAUGAACCCAUCAACCUCUCCAACGUCAUGGUUGAUAUAUCUUGGCCUUCUUCGAUCGCCGCAACGACGUAGUCAAAUCUUUCAGUCAAAGACCUCAAAAUUUUUUCUACGACUCGUACAUCUUGGAGCUCUUCACCAUUAACCCUCAGUUGGUUAACGAUGGUUUGUACACGAUCAAAGUAAGCCGAGAUAGAUUCUGAGUCAUUCAUGCGUAAAGACUCAAAAUCUCCUCGAAGUGUUUGGAGCCGCACCCGCCUGACACGAUCAUCACCUUUGUAGGAUUUUUGCAAUAUAUCCCACGCUUCUUUCGCUGUCUCCGCACUCGAUAUUUUCUCAAAUAUCGUCUCCUCCACAGCUUGAAAGAUCGCAUAUAAUGCUUUCUGAUCUUUCUUUCGAGAUUCCACCAACGCUUCUUUCUCCUCCUUCCUCAAAGCAUUGAAUUCUUCAACAUCAGCUACUUCGGUGUAGCCGUUCUCCACCAGGUUCCACAAAUCUUGGGACCUGAAUAGAACCUUCAUCUGGACGGACCAGUUGUUGUAAUUUUUUCCAUUCAACUUUGGAAGUUGCAACUGAACAGAACUAGUGGAUGCCAUUGCUAGCUCUGAUACCAAUUGUUGGAACCAAAAGGACUUGGAGGGAGAGAGUACACACACAAAGAGAGAUUAUAUUACACAAUAUGCCUUUGUAAAGGCUUAAGAGAGUACACACACUAACUUUGCUAAGCUUAAAACUCUCUCUAAAAUCUCCUCUCUCACUCACAAAAAGAAAACUAACGUAACCCUAUAUCAAUAAGCACUUCACUGCCUGGACUUCAAACAUGCAAGAGUUGAAGUUGAAUUUUUCUUCUUGGCAGUCAAAAAUUGUGGGCUGCGUUUCCUUCACGUGCAAGUUGCAAGCCACAAGAUCACCUUCCUUCGUACUUCUUGAGAUCUCCAGCAGCUAGUGUAAUAAUAUUUUAUUGUGUGCCCAAGAUACUUGUACUUUCUUCAUGAUUUUUCUUCUCCGGCGGCUUAGAAAGACGUGGUGCUGUAGCACACGUUUCUUUGACGGUUUACAAACCGACUAACUCUUGCUUUCACACACAUAGCCAAAAAACAAUUAAAAGACAAAUAAGAUAAUCAAAACACAAAACCAAUUUUACUAUUUUCUAACAAGCCUGGCAUCACACUUGCCAUCGGCUGUUGCUGACUUUGUAGCAUUGUCUUCAAUUUCUCGAACAGAUCCGCCUUCAAUGGUUUUGUCAAAAUAUCUGCAAUCUGGUCUUCGGAUUUACAGAAAUCAAGUUCAAUCUCAUCUUCUUUAAUCAGCUCACGAAUAUAAUGAUACUUGAUGUCGAUAUGUUUGCUCCUGCCAUGAAAUACAGGAUUCUUGGCCAAUGCAAUUGCUGACUUGUUAUCACACAUCAAUUUAGUAGGACCUUUUUGUUCAUGCAUAAGCUCAAAAAGCAUCCUUCGAAGCCACAUCGCCUGACAUGCUGCUGAAGAUACUGCAAUGUAUUCUGCUUCAGUUGUUGAGAGUGCAAUAACUUGUUGUUUCUUUGAUGACCAAGAAAUUAUUCCUGAUCCAAGAAAGAACGCAUAUCCAGAAGUGCUCUUUCGUGUUUCAGUAUCACCUGCCCAAUCACUGUCUGUAUACCCCACUAAACUGAAGUUGUCAGUGUAAGAAUAUGAAAUUCCAUGAUCACGAGUUCCACUGACAUACCUUAAAAUUCUUUUUGCUGCUUGCAAAUGUGAUUGGUAUGGUUUCUCCAUAAACCGACUAAUAAUUCCCACGCCAUAAGUUAUAUCUGGCCUAGUGGUAGCCAAAUAUCUUAAACUGCCGACAAUACUUUUGAAAUAAGUGGGAUUUACCAGUUCACCGGUUCCUUCUUUCUUCAACUCCAACCGUUCUGCUACAGGAGUUCGAAUUGAUUUGAGCGUUUCCAUAUUGAAUCGCUUCAAAAUAUCAUUAGCAUACUUCUGCUGUGAAACAAAUAUGCCUUCAUUUGUCUGCUUCACUUCAAGGCCCAGAAAAUAGGACAUUAAUCCCAAGUCCGUCAUCUCAAAUUGACUUGUCAUGGCCUCCCUGAAUUCAGCAAACAUCUUCUCACAGCUUCCUGUAAAUAUCAAAUCAUCAACAUAAAGGCAAAUAAUUAUAAUAUUGCCGUUAGUAUUUGAUUUGAUAUACAGUGUAUGCUCAUAAGGGCACUUUUGAAAGCCAUGCUCCAACAGGUAAGUAUCAAUCCUCGUGUACCAAGCUCGAGGUGCCUGUUUUAGCCCAUACAACGCUUUCUUCAAUUUAUAAACUUGAUUUUCACGCCCUUUCUUCACAUAACCUUGUGGUUGCUCCACAUAUACUUCCUCAUCAAGAAAACCAUUAAGGAAUGCCGAUUUCACAUCCAUUUGAUGGAUUUUCCAACGGUUCUGAGCUGCAAGUGCCAAGAUCAUUCGAAUGGUAUCCAUUCGAGCCACCGGUGCAAAUACUUCAAAAUAAUCAAUACCUGGCUUUUGCUUGUAGCCUUUCACCACCAGUCUAGCUUUGUAACGGUCCACCUGACCGUUGGGUUUGCACUUCGUUUUGUACACCCACUUGACACCUAUAGGCUUCUUACCAGGUGGUAAAGAAGUUAGCACCCACGUGUCAUUCUUUUCAAUGGAGUGGAUUUCUUCAUCCAUUGCUUGGUUCCACUUCUCAUCUGCUGCUGCAUCAUCAUAGGAUAUGGGGUCACAUUCGGUAAAUAAACAAAAGUUUACCAUUGUUUCAUCAGUGAUUUCGUCACUGUCAUUAUGAUCAACUCUUGUGACCACAUAAUCCUUGAAUUUUACUGGCGUCUUUUGCGGUCGUUGUGAACGACGAAUCAAUGGUUCUGCAGUCGUUGCUGGUGAGGAGGAUGAACUACCAGGUGAAAGUGAUGGAUCUUCAAUUGAAGAUUCUUCGGUCUCCCUCAUCAAUGGUUCAUCUUCCAUAGGAAUGUCUUUCUGGUCAGCCUUUUGAUUCCAGUCCCAGGCUUCAUCUUCAAAAAAUUGGACAUCCCUGCUAAUAAUUACCUUCUCCGUGACAGGAUUAUAUAGCUUAUAACCCUUAGUCACAUUACUAUAUCCAAUGAAAAUGCACUUCUCGCUUUUAUCAUCCAACUUUUUUCUUCGUUCGUCCGGUAUAUGGGGAUAUGCUACACACCCAAAUACCCGUAGGAACGAAACAUCUGGCUUGUUGCCGCUCCAAGCCUCUUCUGGAGUUCUUCCAAGAACACUCCUUGUUGGACACCUAUUCAACACAAAUACAGCACAAGCAACGGCUUCCGCCCAAAACUUCUUCGGUAAUGCUUUAGCCUUUAGCAUACUUCUUGCCAUUUCAAAAAUUGUUCUAUUCUUUCUUUCUGCUAUACCGUUUUGCUGAGGAGUAUAGCUAGCAGUCAACUGACGUUUCAAUCCAUGAAUUUUACAAUAAUUGUCAAAUUCAUUGGAAGUAAACUCUCCACCUCUAUCCGAUCUCAAUGUCUUUAAAUUAAAGCCACUCUGUUUCUCAACAUAGACUUUGAAUUCUUUAAAUUUGCCAAAAGCUUCGGAUUUUUCUCUCAAAAAAUAAGCCCAUGUUCUUCUAGUAAAAUCAUCGACAAAAAUUAGCGUGUACCUUUUUUGUCCAAAUGAUUCCACCUCAACAGGGCCACAGAUAUCUGUAUGUACCAACUCCAGAGGUUGCUUGGCUCUUCUAGUUCUCCCAAUUGGAAAAGAUUUCCGAUGUUGCUUUCCAACGAGACAUCCUUCACAUGAGCGGUCUGGAGCGUCGAUCAAGGGCAUGCCAGUCACCAUCUUUUUCUGGACUAGUAAUUUAAGUCCACAAAAAUUUAGAUGACCGAACCGAAGAUGCCAUAGCCACUUGCUAUCUUUUGUCGUUGCUUGGAAAUUCAAUAGAGUCUUCGUCUGAAGGGAUAGAGGAAACAUCCGGUUCUUCGUCAUCCGUGUCGUUGUAAUCAACUUAUUGUUUGCGCCUCUAAUGGUGCACACACCAUUUUCAAUGUUAACUUUGUGGCCUUUUUCGGAUAGUUGCCCAACACUCAGCAAAUUCCAAAAGAGUCCCGGCACAAAGUAAACAUCUGCAAUAGUAACAUUAGUACCAUCUUUUGAGUUGAUAUCAAUGUUACCUUUGCCCAUCACGAGAAUUUUGGAUUUAUUCCCGAAGUUGACUUCACCACGAACCGUCUCAUCUAACUUCGAAAAUAGCUCCUUUUGACCACACAUGUGAUUGCUGCACCCAGUAUCAAGAUACCAAAUUUUUGUGUCCAUGGUACUUGAGUCAUCCAUUUGGCAUGCUAACACCACGCCUUCAUUUGCAUUGACAGCGUGCACAUAUUCUGGCUGCUCUUGCCCCCUGUUUGCUCGACAUUCGGAUUUGUAAUGUCCGAAUUUGUUACAGUUAAAACACUUGACUUUUGAUUUGUCACGUGUUUGAUAUCUUUUAGUGGAAUUCAGAUUUCCACCUCUACCUCGGGCACCACCACGACCUCCACGACCUCGGGCACCAUGAUGACCUCCUCGAUUUGAUUGAGUGACCCGACUUUGCAGUGCUUGCUCAGAAUUCGAACUGAUAGACUUUUGGUUCAUUCUUUGCUCAUGCGAACAUAAUGAACCCAUCAACCUCUCCAACGUCAUGGUUGAUAUAUCUUGGCCUUCUUCGAUCGCCGCAACGACGUAGUCAAAUCUUUCAGUCAAAGACCUCAAAAUUUUUUCUACGACUCGUACAUCUUGGAGCUCUUCACCAUUAACCCUCAGUUGGUUAACGAUGGUUUGUACACGAUCAAAGUAAGCCGAGAUAGAUUCUGAGUCAUUCAUGCGUAAAGACUCAAAAUCUCCUCGAAGUGUUUGGAGCCGCACCCGCCUGACACGAUCAUCACCUUUGUAGGAUUUUUGCAAUAUAUCCCACGCUUCUUUCGCUGUCUCCGCACUCGAUAUUUUCUCAAAUAUCGUCUCCUCCACAGCUUGAAAGAUCGCAUAUAAUGCUUUCUGAUCUUUCUUUCGAGAUUCCACCAACGCUUCUUUCUCCUCCUUCCUCAAAGCAUUGAAUUCUUCAACAUCAGCUACUUCGGUGUAGCCGUUCUCCACCAGGUUCCACAAAUCUUGGGACCUGAAUAGAACCUUCAUCUGGACGACCAGUUGUUGUAAUUUUUUCCGUUCAACUUCGGAAGUUACAUCUGAACGGAACUAGUGGAUGCCAUUGCUAGCUCUGAUACCAAUUGUUGGAACCAAAAGGACUUGGAGGGAGAGAGUAUACACACAAAGAGAUAUUAUAUUACACAAUAUGCCUUUGUAAAGGCUUAAGAGAGUACACACUAACUUUGCUAAGUUUAAAACUCUCUCUAAAAACUCACUCUCUCACAAAAACACUCUCACACACUGAACUAACGUAACCCUAUAUCUAAAAGUACUUCACCGCAUGGACUUCAAACCUGCAAGAGUUAAAUUUGAACUUUACUUCUUGGCAGUCAAAAAAAAACGUGGGCUGCGUAUCUCUUCUUCUUGCUGUCUUCAGAGAGAAUAAAAUAUUGCCAUCCCCAAGUUGCUUUCCUUCCUUUCCUUCGUGCUCUUGGAGUCUUCAGCAGCAACUAUAAUAUUUUAUUGUGUGCCCAAGACUUGUACUUUCUUCAUGAUUUUUCUUCUCCGGCGGCUUAGAGAGACGUGGUGCUGUAGCACACGUUUCUUUGACGGUUUACAAACCUAAUAACUCUUAUUUACACACACAGCCAAAAAACAAUUAAAAGACAAAUAAGCUAGUCAAAACACAAAACCAAUUUUACUAUUUUCUAACACGCCAUCUCCGAUCGAAGCUCCUUCCCUUCAACUAUUCAUCACCAAAGCAGAGGCGGAAAAAGGGCGAGGAAAUUGCCGGCGUCUCCGAUGUCGACGAGCUUCUAAUCUGGUGUGGAGCGAAGAAGAGGAGGGGCGACCGGGACCGGGUGCAGUCCGUUUCCGGAAUUUGGAUAUAUAAUCCGUGGGCUCUUCCUUCAAGCUCUUCUUGACUCGGCUAGGCGGUUUAACCCCCCCUUCUCCGGUUUUCCUUCCUCCCCCAGGGUCUUUCCUCGGAAAAGAGACAAAAGAAAAGUAUCAUCUCCAUUUUCAUUUUCAUUUUUAUUUUUUUUUGCUUUUCUGGUGGCGUACUCUGAGAAUAUUUCCCGAACGAGGCCACAAUUUUCACCCUCUUUUACCGCAAAGGCCCAUCGAAAGGUGGGCGGCAACUUGCGUUUUUUCACCCCGGGAGUCUCUCCCCUAAUAUUUGCCACUGCGAUCAUACGAUGAAAACUCGAAAUUAAUAUACUUACAAUAAAUUAAUUUUGAAUUAAUUUUUUAACUGUCAAAAACUUCAAACUGAUAAACUCUUUGUUAGUUUACAUUAAAUUUUACCAUUAAAUUAAUAAUAUAUGAUAAUUCAUGAACGUACUAGUUUGGAGACUUACUUUUUAUUUAUCAUAUAUGUUCUACUUUGUGAUUUUUUAAGGUAUUGAUCUAAUUUAAAGACUAAAGUAGAGUAAAACUAUCAUAAAUAUACUAUUUUGAUAUUUUGAGUAAUAAAAAAAUCAAUUUAGAGUAAAUUUAUCAUAUAUAUAUAUAUAUAUAUCAAUGUUAAUCCAUUGCUCAAAUAGCUCAAACUUCGAUUACGACAUAAAGUCCAUUUUCCAUUGAGAAAGUACAAGUUGGUGUUGGGUGUUGAUAGUCCAUAGUUCAUACAAGGGAAAGGGAAAGAAUAUUAUCGAAGAAUACAAUGUAGCAAAAUGAAAAGUAAGGGGGGACCAAAAUCGAAAGAUGUAUUUGCACGUUUUUUCUAUCAUAUCCACACUCUCCACCAAUCAAAGGCGCACGGGUGACGUAUUUCGUUCAUACCCCUUGCUCUGAUUGCCACGUUCGUAGUCUUAUCGCUAUCCCCAAAAUAUAGUAAAAGCCCUACACCCACUAACCAAUAAAAAGUUUGAGAAAGAUGUCGUGGCAACCUGGCAGGGACUUCAAUUGCCGCCUUAUUUUCAGAUGAUACCAGCCAAAAAAAGAAAAAGACAAAAAAGAACAACUAGUAGUUAAACAGUCAACCAUGGCCCUUUUCAUAUUGACUUGGGAAAUGAUGCACGGGGGCUAGAAGCCCGGGACAGAACAGACGCCUUCAACUCCAGAAAAUAUUUUGGUGCCUCUCACGUAACUAGCAUAACAAAACAAAAAAAAAAAAAAAAGAGAUCUAAAGAGGUGAGGCACGUUUAAAGUAGGCCCAAACGCCAGAUUCCCAUGCACGCUCUCUCCUAUCUCCUCUCUUUGCCCAAAUGCCAUACUCCUCUACACACGCUCUCUCUCUCUCUCUUCGCCACCCCCUCUCUAUCCCUCUGAGCCCUCGUUUGACCGACAAGCUUUCCCCCAAUGGAGGCAAAGCCACGUUUAUUCGUCCAAUUUAUUCGUCCAAUGAGGGUUCGAUCGUGACUUGAAGGGGAAAAGAGAGAACAGUCGAUGGGGGGUAGCGAGCUAUCAUCAGACCAGCGCUGUGGCUCGUCGGUUAGACAAGGGCACGAUGGCUCGUUCGCCGAACCACCGCACAUGCCUCGAGGUUGUCUACACCGUUGCGAAGUUCAUCGAUCAAGCAUGGUGGCUCAUCUAACAAACCAUCGCGGGGCUCUGCCUCCGCUUAGAAAGAUUACCUCCUCUAGCACUAGCCGACCCCAACGGAGAAGAAGAUGAACAGUCGCAAAUAAGGGCAAAAUCGAAAAAUCAAAAAGUCAGCCAAGAUAUUGGGUGUUUGAUAGAAUUUUUGAACCCACCUUGAGAAAAAGUUUGCAUUUAAAAGGCUAAAAGCUCGAGGAGAUUGUAGGUUAUCUUAGGCUUCCAUCCUUCUCAAUAUGCAAGAAGGCAGGGGGAGGUAAAAAAAUUUCUUUUUAAACUAUCCUUCCUAACUUUUUGAUUUUCCGAUUUUGCCCUUAUUUGCGACUAUUCGUCUUCUUCUUUGUGGGGGCUAGCUAGCGUGUCGACAAUGGGCCAAAGAGAGGUUGGUGUAAUUGUAGCGAUCUAGGCGAUCGUCGCCGAGGGUCAUGUGACCUGGGUGAGUGCCAUCUAGGUUGCACAAGGUAGCCUAAGGUCACUUGAUCCGAACAGUAGAUGGCCCUCGUCACUUGCAAAACCCCGACAAGAGUCUACCCUGUUUCAUGCAACCUAGUUGGCCCUUGUUAUGGUUGAGCGACCUCCGCGGGGGUCACGCUAGCAAAGGUUGCCUAGGUUUGUGUGACCUAACUAGCCCUCAUUGGAGUCAAGCAACCUCGACAAGGGGUUGCGCGAGCUAUGCGACCUAGCUAACCCUCAUUGGGGCGAAGCAACCUUCACGAGGGUCACAUCGAUGAGGGCUACUUGGGUUUUGCAUGACCUAGCUAGCCCUUAUGAGGGUCGAGUGACCUUUAUGAGGGGUUGCCUGGGUCACACGACACUCAUUAGGGCUCGCCCAACCCUAGGCAGCCUUCACCAAUGGUCUCUAGGGCAGAUGACCACCAUCGGCAACAGAUCAAGAUCGCCUACCCUUGGUUUAUUAGGGCUAGUUAUUUUAUUUUUUUUAUAAAAAAAAACUAAAAUGCUUUGUAUGUAUAAUUUUUUCAAAUAUUAUUUUACUCAAAAGUACUUCACAAUGAACUCUUAGAGUAUAAUUUAAUAAACAUGAUUUAUAUUUUGAAAAAAAAUUUUAACUUAAAAGUUCUUUGCAUUUUUUCAAAGGCUUUUUUAAAAAUCCAACGAGAGGCGCGUGCACAAGGGAGUCUAGCAUUUGGGCGAGAGAGAGGAGAGAACAGCACGUGCAGCAUUUGGACGAGAGAGAGGAGAGAGGAGAGCAUGCAAGGAAGUGACGUUUGGACCCACUUUGGACAUGUGUCACCAUUUUAGGUCUUUUUCUUUUUUAAUUAUGCUGGCUACACAAGAGGCAUCUAAUAUUUUCUUCAAAUCUAGAUGUGAUAUGAAGAGAUGGCAAGAUUGUCACCUCGAACGUCGAUUACAUAAAUGAUAACAUAGUAUCAGCAUCUACAAAAAGCCUAUCAGAAUAACAAGUCAUAUCUCAAUGUAUUACUUCGCUAGUCCCGUGCCAUCGGAUACACUUGACCCAAUGUGUGCUCCAGUCAAGCAGCGACAACUGCAUCGGUCGGCAAUAGCUUCAGGGGCGACCACCAAAGCAGUUGUUGCCUCCUCUAAAGCAUCAGCCACUGCGGCAUCACUGACUUCAGGGUCAUCUGUGUUGGGUGCCGAUGGCGGCCAAAGCUUCAAGUGGGACGGAGCACUGUGCUUCAAGAGAAUCUGUUGCAACCUUGAAAUUUCGGUUGGUUUUCCUGGUUUAGGGGCUCGGACAACGACAACAGAGGGCUUCUUCUCUUUGAUCCUUCUUUCCUCUCUUAUUUUCUAUGGUGGGAACUUCAUUAGGGAGGAGCUCUACAAUCGCCUUCCAGUAGUUCUUGUCAGCCUCAGUGUGCCUCAGUGUGGAACUUCCGUAGGCUAGCCAAAAACAACUGAACCACGAAGGACAUAGCAUCAGAAAAGGCCAAUAACAUUACCAUGACAACAUCCCCUACCAGAUUGCCAAAGGUGACCGCAUAAAAGCAAUGGUCCUAUGCAACUAUCAGUGCUAUGAUUUUUCGUGUUAUUUCACCCCGUACUGGAUUAAACAAUAGAUAAGAUGUCCUUGAUGUAUCAUAAUGAACAUAACCUAUGACAUUAACCCAAUUUAAUUUCAGACUAGUUAAGUUCAACUACAUUCAGUUUCUUCCCCAUCCUAUGCAACUUGUGUUAUUUCACCCAGUCCCAAUAGUAUUAAGUCCUAGAUGUAUUGUAACGAGUACAACAUUGACACUAGUCAGAUUUCUAACUAGUUGAGGUCAAAGACAUUUUGAUUUUCCCCAUCCUACAUGAUACCAAAUGUCCCAGGAAAUAACCGAGAUUCUAAUCACUUUCAUAUGAUAUGAACACACGCUAGUAAUCUACUUUAAUUUGGUCCUAGAAUCUACUCUCCAUAAUCGCCGGUGUAUUUAUAGCACUAAUAACAAUUCCCCAAACACAUCGUGCCCUUUACCCUUCUCCACCAACUACAAUGCAUUUUACCUCAUUAUAUCGAAUAAUGUCGGAUGGUGUGCACUACCAUAAAAAGGUAUGAGGCUAAAGUGCAGUUCAAACACAUGAUAUACCAUUGGCGUGCCCCUCCUUUGCAAAAAUACUAUUUGAUCGUAGUGGGCAUUCGAUACUUAGAAUUGUUUCUAAAGGGUACUUUAACUUGAUUGACUCCAAUUUGCAAGCAUGGGAGCUACUAACGCUUCUCAUACCUUAGACAUUAUCAGCCUACAUUAACAGAAGGCUGAUGCAUUGGAACUUAAAUUUCAAAUCUUGAGUCAGCAUUAUGCAGUUCUUCACAAUGAUUGCAAAAGAUCAAUUUUAAAUCAAUUUGAUUAACUGUUGCAAGUUUAAAAAUCAAAUACCAUGGCUUGAAUAUUCCACUAACAGUCGUCAGCACAACUUCCAUGAAUUAAAUGAUCACAAUUUAAUGCACUGGGCCAAAUUGUUAAAAAAAUACAUAUAAAAUUCAAGUAUGAACAAAAGAUAAACAUCAUGAAUUAAGUUUGCAAUUGCAGAUUGGAAGGGCUCGCCUUCUCAUUUUCCCCGUUGGUUGUCUUGUUGUUCUAACAUGUUAUCAUCCUUUUCCUGUAGAACUCAAUUUUAUACUCAUCUGCUUCACCAAUUAUUUGGUUUUUUUUUUGGUCGAAACACCAAUUAUUUGGUUCAAUAGCUCUUUCUCCAUCUUCUCUUUCUCUUCCAAUCGAACUGCAUUUUUCCUUUGCAUUGCAACAAAUUUUUAUUAUAAUAUAUCACGUAGAGAAGGGGAAAAAAAAAAAAAAGAGGAAGUACAUAGUGCCCCACAAAAGCAGGAAUUUUGCUUUGAUCAAGGUUAACAGUCACCAGCACUGAAGGGAUUUACAAGUAAAGCAAGACCUUAUAUUAUUUCUUUAGUAAAGUCUAAGCACAGAAUUGAACAAUGGGUAAUUAAAUUCGUACCUAAUCAUUGGGUAAUAUCAUAUUGGAACUCUUGGAUUUCUAAUAUCCACUGUCGUCCUUUAAAAACUUUGAAGCUAUGCGAUAAUCAUACUUUCAAAACUAUUAAAUCAAUCCAGUCGUUAUUUCAUGGUGGUUUGGUCCUUCAAUAAAUAAGCAGUCAUUGGCUUUGAUUUCAACGUUCCCCCUCCCCUCAAUCCCCAUCCCUCUCCUCUUGAGGGCUUCUACAAUCGCCUAAGUUGGUUAACAUUAGAUCAGGCAAGAAUUAAUUCCAUUCACUACGGCAUUUUCAUGUUAUUGUGUGCUAAGGCUUUUUCUAUAGGAGCUACGACAAAAUGCAUGUGAUCUCACGGAAAAAAAAAGAGUAUAUAUAUAUUAUCUUCAAAAUCUAGAUAAGAUCGCAUGGACUCAAUUGUGAAGGCCAUGGAAAUCCAUAAGCAGAUGGGAAUUUGAGAUUCUGCAAGCCCCAGGACAAUCACACAAAGUUAACAGGAUUUUCGAGAAGUGAGAGAAUUCUGGGGCUGCUAUUAGCCAUUAGGUGGGUAUGAGUGUCGAGGGUUCUCGUCCCAAUUGUCCCAGGUCCCUUCCAAUCCCCAACUUGCGAAUUCAAUCUCUGAAGCAUUGCAAAGAUCAUAAUUUUUCCCACAGAAUUAGCACCACUACGAGGUCAUCUGAAGUGAUCCUACAUGAUAACAGUACUAAGAUGCUCUAACAGCCAAAAAAAUUCCCUCUAUUCACUCAAAAGUGCGGCUUUCUCUUUCUAGAAGUCUAUUUUCCCCGACUUAACUCAGCGAUUAUAGCAUCACUUUCAUAGCACGAGAAUCAUCGGUAUUGCUCUUUAAGCUAAUCAUCGCACUACACUUAAGAUCAGAGAACAAAGCUCUUCAAACCACCACACUGAUAUGACCACAAGACAUCUCUCCCCAGAGAGAAUGAUCCAUAGAAGACUCAAAAUUCUGUAACAUCGCGAGACUCACAUCCUCCACUCUCUCAAAGCAAAUUGUUCCUCAGGCUGCAUCUCCAUCGGGGGUGGCAAAACGGGGCCGUCCGCCUCGUCCGUCGAGAACUGCCCAGCCACAGCGUAGACCGGACAGUCGGCCGGCACAUGCUCCAAGAAAAAACCAUCCACGGAAGCGAAGCCGCCGGCAUCGUCGUCGUCGUCACCCUCCUCCUCCUCAAGUGAAUAGACCAUUCGCUCAGACAACUCUCGACCGACCACUCUCACAUACCUCUGCACUUGGGCUUCGAGCUCAACAAGACCAAAGGCCCCUUGCAGAUCCUUCAUAGAAGAAAUAGACCAGUGAGCCAUUUGGUGUAUCAAGUGUACAUACAGGCAACUCACAAGACGGAUCUCUGUUCAAGACACCAAGUAGAUUAUGUAAUUAUGUGAGUUCCAUCAAUUGAAAAAAACACACUUAAUUCUUUUUCUGUGAGGGGUAAAAUCAACUAAAUAAUUGGAGGCACGAAUUAGAGAAAAGCAGGGCACUAGCUGAAGAACUGUCCAGACAAUAACCCAUUGGCUUCUCUUCUCUAUAUUAACCAAAAUGCCAGUGGAAACUCAAAAUGACAUUCAACAGUGAAACAUCCAAUAACAGACGCAAAAGGAUCUUCUCACCCAAUAAGAAAGGAGAUUUAGAGUUGCUGAUGAACUUUUCAUACCUUGUAUCUCAGGCGAGACCCCCGUAAUCCUAUUAGAGCUUUUCCAAUAUCCCUAUCCUCCAUUUCAGAAACUGGAGGCAGCACUGGCUUUUCAUCUUCAUCUUUAUAAUCUGACAGGACAACAUACUUUCUUUCAUCAAGCUGAGGCUUUGCAACGUUGAAGGGAACCCACCUGAGAUAUGCAUUAACUAGCUUGCACAUUAACUUUGACAAUAUGCACAGGUACUUAUUGCAAGUGUAAAAGAAUAACAGAACUCACAUAAUGACUAUUAAGUGUGAAGUAGUUGAACUAGGAGGGAUGAUGAAUUUAAAAGUUCACUUCCUCGCAAUUUGCAAGACACUGAAGAAAUAAAGUCUCAUCCAAAGAAGAAGGAGAGUGCAAGAGGGACGUACGAGUAACGGAGGGGACAUAGAAGCUCAGAUGGCCAAUACGCUGCUUUAUAUCUCAUCUUGCUGCAUGAAUGAAUGUAAUAGCCAAGGUAAUAAUACUGAAGACUGGGGCAGUGAACUUGAUUCUCCUUCACCCAAGAUAUUUCUUUCAAAGCCGAAUAUUUUCCCAAAGAUAAAAAGGCAAAGUCAGGGUCCCAAAAUAAAUAUUUACUCGACAAGCAUUUAGGAAGGAUAUCCACCACACCAACCGCAACUAAUCGGCCAUCAAUAACAUAUGACUGAUGGAAAGACCCAAAACCGCAGGGAGGAACUGAAC
rnacentral:lncRNA from 1 species